AUUGAACGCUGGCGGCAGGCCUAACACAUGCAAGUCGAGCGGAUGAAGAGAGCUUGCUCUCUGAUUUAGCGGCGGACGGGUGAGUAAUGCCUAGGAAUCUGCCUGGUAGUGGGGGAUAACGUUCCGAAAGGAACGCUAAUACCGCAUACGUCCUACGGGAGAAAGCAGGGGACCUUCGGGCCUUGCGCUAUCAGAUGAGCCUAGGUCGGAUUAGCUAGUUGGUGAGGUAAUGGCUCACCAAGGCGACGAUCCGUAACUGGUCUGAGAGGAUGAUCAGUCACACUGGAACUGAGACACGGUCCAGACUCCUACGGGAGGCAGCAGUGGGGAAUAUUGGACAAUGGGCGAAAGCCUGAUCCAGCCAUGCCGCGUGUGUGAAGAAGGUCUUCGGAUUGUAAAGCACUUUAAGUUGGGAGGAAGGGCAGUAAGUUAAUACCUUGCUGUUUUGACGUUACCGACAGAAUAAGCACCGGUUAACUUCGUGCCAGCCGCCGCCGUAACAC
rnacentral:rRNA from 1 species